rnacentral:rRNA from 1 species
CCAACGUCUGCUCGAAAAAUAGUCGCAACAUGUCUAGGAUUACCCAUCAUGUGGCGAAACAAACUACUUUCGACCUCAAAUCAGGUAGGACUACCCGCUGAACUUAAGCAUAUCAAUAAGCGGAGGAAAAGAAACCAACCGGGAUUGCCUCAGUAACGGCGAGUGAAGCGGCAAAAGCUCAAAUUUGAAAUCUGGCCUUUCGGGUCCGAAUUGUAAUUUGAAGAAGCGACUCUGGUACCGGCCCUUGUCUAUGUUCCUUGGAACAGGACGUCACAGAGGGUGAGAAUCCCGUGCGAUGGGGUGUCCGGUGCUAUGUAGAGCGUUUUCGACGAGUCGAGUUGUUUGGGAAUGCAGCUCUAAGUGGGUGGUAAAUUCCAUCUAAAGCUAAAUAUUGGCGAGAGACCGAUAGCGAACAAGUACUGUGAAGGAAAGAUGAAAAGAACUUUGAAAAGAGAGUGAAAAAGUACGUGAAAUUGUUGAAAGGGAAGGGCUUGGGAUCAGACAUUGUAUUUCCAUGGCGCUCUCUCGGGGGUGUCCUCUGGGUUUACAGGGCCAGCAUGGGUUCUGCGGGCAAGAUGAGGGUGUGGGGAAUGUGGCUCUGCUUCGGCGGAGUGUUAUAGCCCCGGACUUUGGUUGCCACGCGGGACCGAGGAUGCGAAUCUAGAUGCUGCC